CUCACAUUUGAAAUCUGGCACUUUCAGUGUCCGAGUUGUAAUUUGAAGAAGGUAUCUUUGGGUCUGGCUCUUGUCUAUGUUUCUUGGAACAGAACGUCACAGAGGGUGAGAAUCCCGUGCGAUGAGAUGUCCCAGACCUAUGUAAAGUUCCUUCGAAGAGUCGAGUUGUUUGGGAAUGCAGCUCUAAGUGGGUGGUAAAUUCCAUCUAAAGCUAAAUAUUGGCGAGAGACCGAUAGCGAACAAGUACAGUGAUGGAAAGAUGAAAAGAACUUUGAAAAGAGAGUGAAAAAGUACGUGAAAUUGUUGAAAGGGAAGGGCUUGAGAUCAGACUUGGUAUUUUGUAUGUUACUCUCUCGGGGGUGGCCUCUACAGUUUACCGGGCCAGCAUCAGUUUGAGCGGUAGGAUAAGUGCAAAGAAAUGUGGCACUGCUUCGGUAGUGUGUUAUAGUCUUUGUCGAUACUGCCAGCUUAGACUGAGGACUGCGGCUUCGGCCUAGGAUGUUGGCAUAAUGAUCUUAAGUCGC
rnacentral:rRNA from 1 species